GCUAGAUAUCUGAAUAUCUAAUAUGAUAUGGAUGCCAGUUAUUUAGUUUCUAAUGUACAUAUUAGAUAUCUGGGUCUCCAGUAUACAAAGGAUGCUGAAUAAAGAUAUCCAGCACACUGAUGAUACUGGAUAUGAAUCUCCAGCAGUCAAAGGAGACUGGACAUCUGGAUAUCAAUGUAGAGGAUUAGGGAUAUCUAUCUUAUCAUGGAUAAUGGACAUCUGGAUAUCUACCUUACCAUGGACAAUGGAUAUCUGGAUCUUCAACAUACCAUGGAUAUUGGAUAUCUAGCUUACAAUGGAUAAAAAUAUCUGAAUAUCUAAAUAUAUGGCAUCCAUAGACAGCUAAUAAAAAUGAUGGGAUUAAGCAUGUGAAUAUGUUACUUUUUUAAAAAUA
rnacentral:lncRNA from 1 species